AGUGAACGCUGGCGGUAGGCCUAACACAUGCAAGUCGAACGGCAGCACAGUAAGAUCUUGCUCUUACGGGUGGCGAGUGGCGGACGGGUGAGGAAUACAUCGGAAUCUACUUUUUCUUGGGGGAUAACGUAGGGAAACUUACGCUAAUACCGCAUACGACCUACGGGUGAAAUCAGGGGAUCUUCGGACCUUGCGCGAUUGAAUGAGCCGAUGUCGGAUUAGCUAGUUGGCGGGGUAAAGGCCCACCAAGGCGACGAUCCGUAGCUGGUCUGAGAGGAUGAUCAGCCACACUGGAACUGAGACACGGUCCAGACUCCUACGGGAGGCAGCAGUGGGGAAUAUUGGACAAUGGGCGCAAGCCUGAUCCAGCCAUACCGCGUGGGUGAAGAAGGCCUUCGGGUUGUAAAGCCCUUUUGUUGGGAAAGAAAAGCAGCAGGUUAAUACCCCGCUGUUCUGACGGUACCCAAAGAAUAAGCACCGGCUAACUUCGUG
rnacentral:rRNA from 1 species